AGGAUUAUAGUUUAUUUAUUAAAACAAUUGAUUUGCAUUCAAUCAUAAUUAAUUUAUUUAAUUAAUCUUA
rnacentral:tRNA from 1 species